UUACAAAACUGUGUUCAGAUUAAAAGCAAAACUGACGGGAAAAUUCUUGCAUACGACACAUAGCAUUUCAAAAAUGUGUCCCACACAUAGCAUUAUUGCAUUUUUAUACACAGACUCCGAAUCAGAUGUAUAUGCGCAAACAUACAAUAUAUGUAGCUUCUCUAUGAAGAAUUACAAUGUCCGCCCUAUUUUUUAAACCUUCAACAAUAUUAUAAUGAACGUUUUUGUUGAUUGAAUAACAAAUAUACCACACAUAGCAUUUCACUUUGGGUGUUUUCAAAUACGCGGUUGCACUUUUUGGAAAAAAUACUUAAUUAAUUUUGCACAAACUUAACACAGUUGUGAAUUUUGACAAUGACCGGGCUCUCGUCUUUGUUUUUUUUGAAAAUGGUUUUGAAUUAAUGAAGAAAUUAUCAGAAACGUACCUGAAGCUAUGGUUUGUUGACAUCCGAUUGUCCCACACAUAGCCGAAAAAGUCACGUGGUACAGGCACCUUGAUUAACACAUUGGCAUGUUGUCUAGACAGGAUGAGGGAAGAUUUGAAAUAUGCAUGCAGAGAUUGCAAGGUCACCUGGUCAAUGGGAUUGCUGUAUCUUAAUAUUACCAUACAAAGGGGGUCAUGUUAUUGAUACUUGUUCAACUGUUUGGUGCAUGUUGCAUCAAUGAUUAUUUACCAAACAAAAUUGCAACAUCAUGUCUGACAUCUCCAAUGCCAUUUUAAACAUUUAACAUACAACGAAAAAGGAUGUACUAAAUUAUGGAUGCUUCAAAAAAGUAAAAUGUUGUUCAUUUUUAUUUUGUAAAAUCACAAUAAUUAUUUGUAUUGAUGAUUUUACUGUUUCACAUCAUAGAAAAAAACUAAGUUACAUUUUGUCUUCUUUUUGGGGGGGUUGUCCCAUAAGAGUGGAAAUUACUUUGCCUAGAAUUAAAACAUUAAACAAAAAAUCUAUUAUUUUGGUGUUAAUUCUUCCCAACCAUCUUUUUUGAAUAACUUAAAAAAAAUGAAACGUCCUAGUGCGAAUGUCAUAUGUUAAACAAUACAGUUAAAAGCAAAGCACUUGGAAAUUGGGGGGGGAAUACGGUUUUGUCUUGUCAAAGCAUCUUUAGAAAAAAGCAGCCUACGCAAGCUGCAUGCUUACCACUGCAAGUAUGAUGCAUACGUAUGCAGCUGCAUCCUACAACUGCAGGCAGUGUCACGUCUUGUUCUUGAACCAGUCUAGACGCUCCAGCACUUACAUGUAUGUUAAACACAAUACUAUCACUUAUUUAUAACAAUAAUAUGUUAAUUAAUUUGAAUAGAUGUGAUAAUUUAUUUUGCUGCAGUGCUUUAUGUGAUUCUUUAGUGUACUGCGACAAUUAUUGUGUUAUUUUAAUGUCGGAUGUAAAAGAAUUCUUAAGUGUACUGCGACAAUUGUUGUGUUAUUUUAGUGUCUGAUGUAAUAGAAUUUGCAAUUGCAAUAAAAAAAUCAGUGCAGAAAAGCGAACCUGAACAAUCCUGCUAGACUCCCAGACUGUAUCAUAGUCCAGGGCCCUUAUUCAACAACCCAUUUUGGCUCAAGUCUUAAAAUAUAGAAUAUUCUUAAAACUAUAAUGUUCUAUAAUUUCUUUAAAGCUAAGUCUUGCAUGACAGUUUACAUAGUAUAUAUUUACAUCAUUAUUUAAAUAGAACUGUUUGUUCAUGAUGUAAGCACCGUUUCCAGCCUAUAUGCAUUCAAACAUGUUUAUUCAUUCUUAACUCUUAGAAUCAGUUGGUUAAAUGGGGUCACUCGGGUAAAACUAAAUAGGGUAUGCUAUUUACUGAUUUACCAUUCGUGUGGUUAUUUGUCAUAUUUGGAGGGGGGCAUGUAAUGCAUUCAAAUUGGAAGUUUUUAAUCUAUUGAAAAUAAAAUAAAAAGCAUUGUUCUGCUUAAUGUAUGGUUUACAUUCAUUAACAUAUUGGCAUAACCGUUUACGACUUAAAAAGCGAGUUGAAAAUGGCUAUGUGCAAACAGCAUAAAACCAGAACAGCCUCAGUGAAUCUAGUAAUCACUGGGGGCUGACGAGGUAUAAGCGUAGUCCGUUUCGCUACGAAGUCGGGUAUAUGUUUUUCUACGAAAACAUUGUGUACAUACACAUGACAUCGAAGAACGGAUUAGUGGAAAUUUGUGUUUAAAACAGAGUCAUGGAGUGGCUGGAUGUUUCCUUUGAGGAAGAGAUAGUAACAACGACACAACAUGAUCCGAAGCGCACAGUCGACAUGGUCCGGUCUCACUAUGAUGCCGGCGGAGCCCCGGUGCGUGAUCAGGCAUCUACCGGGAUGAACCGGGGCCAUACCGGGAUGAACCGGUGCUCCACCGGGAUGAAACGUAGACGACCGGGGACAACCGGGGCU